UUUUUACAAUGGAGAGUUUGAUCCUGGCUCAGGAUGAACGCUAGCGGCAGGCUUAACACAUGCAAGUCGAGGGGCAGCGAGAUUGAAGCUUGCUUCAA
rnacentral:rRNA from 1 species